GCAACCAGAGUGUGCCAGAGCCUUCCAUGGAGCUAAGCUGGUGCUCUGUGGCCAGAAUGUAGAGGCCCCCAAAGAACUCACUAGAGAGCUCACUGCUUUUAUUACCUCCCAGGGGCAGGUGCACAAGCCUUACGCAGUGACCUUCGACCCUACAGACACUGGGACUAUUGUGGCUGUGGCAGCUAAGAUCCUGCAGUGCUUUGGCUAUGUAGACAUACUCAUCAACAAUGCUGGGAUCAGCUACCAUUACAGACACCACAGUGGAUGUUGAAGAGAGUCAUGGAGACAAAUUACUUUGGCCCUAUUGCUCUAACAAAAGCACUCCUGCCCUCCAAGAUCAAGAGGAGGCAAGGCCACAUCAUCACCAUUAGGGCAAAAUCAGCAUUUCUUUUCAAUCAGCAUAUGGAGCCUCCAAGCAUGCAACCCAGGCCUUCUUUGACUGUCUGCAUGCUGAGAUGGAACAGGAUGAGAUUCAGGUGACUGUAAUCAGCCUUGGCUACAUCUAUACCAACCUCUCUGCAAAUGCCAUUACCACUGAUGGGUCCAGAUACGGAGCUAUUAACAAGAACACAGCCCAGGGAUGGAAGCCCUGUAGAGGUGGCCAAAGAUGUUGUUGCUGCUGUGGGGAAGAAGAAGAAAGAUGUGAUCCUGGCUGACUUUCUGCUUUUCUUGGCCAUUUAUCUUCAAACUCUGGCUCCUGGGCUCUUUUUCAGCAUCAUGGCCUCCAGGACCAAAAAGGAGAGAAAAUCUAAGAAUUCCUAAUCCUGGCCCAGAGCUAGCAGCUCCAACCAGUUUGAGUUAGGAUGAGAA
rnacentral:lncRNA from 1 species